ACCCUGCGUCUGAAGGACGAAACUGUCCAGUGGUGACCUAAUGGCCGACUCACAAGCUCCAGGUGGGCGACGGGAUCGGUGUAAGCUAGGGAACUAGAGCCAUUGCUUUGGGGGUUUCGAUCACUUUCGUGAAAUUUCGCGUUUUGGUACCGGACGGCGUUUCUUUCUUUUUUUUUACCACGGCCGCUCUGGAACACUAGCGUUCUGCCUGCCAACUGUGCGCUGUCCUCUGCGAUGAUAGCAAACUUGGCACGGCGCGCAUCUUGUGCCGAGUCGCGCAAGAUCUCGCGAGAGUGAUCGCAUCCUCGAAUGCUAUUGUUCGCCAAUACCGCUUCAGCUCUCCGGGCAAACGUCAGUACGUAUUCCCAAGCGAGCAACGCUCAGGCACGUCGACUACACGGGCUGGUGCUGCAAAGGCCACUGCCGUGCUAGUGGCAGGUUUACGUUUAUUCCGGCCCAAGCUGUCCCGGAAUUCAAUUUCGCAACGUUCGGGCGCCUUCGAGUGGCCUUCGGUUUCCUACCCACGUGGCCAUGACGUCAUCUGUGAGCUUUGCAGGAACUAUCCAGCUGCCGUCCGGCUGCCAGUGGGCGGUCAGAACACUGAAAAUAGAAGCAGCCCUGCAUUUGUGUGAACUACAACUGAUAGUGCAGCGCCGACGACGACGUGGAAAGCUGCAGGGCUGGCAAUAUGGAAAGAGCGAUUUAGUAGGUCUUCGGUGCACUUCUGGUCCCGGAGGCUGACAACUGGUUUGAUACACGUCUCCUCUGGACUUGCAUAUCAGCAGAAAGGUUCGGUCCCGGCCGCUGCGGCAGCAUUACGGAGGAGUCGGAAUGGGAGAAAAA